UAGACCCGAAGCGGUGUGAUCUAUCCAUGGCCAGGAUGAAGCGUCGGUAAGACGUCGUGGAGGUCCGAACCCACUUCAGUUAAAAAUGGAGGGGAUGAGUUGUGGAUAGGGGUGAAAGGCCAAUCAAACACCGUGAUAGCUGGUUCUCCCCGAAAUGCAUUUAGGUGCAGCGUUGCGUGGUUCUUGUUGGAGGUAGAGCACUGGAUGGUCUAGGGGGCUUAUCGGCUUACCGAAAUCAGCCAAACUCCGAAUGCUGGCAAGUGUAGCGUGGCAGUGAGACGGCGGGGGAUAAGCUUCGUCGUCGAGAGGGAAACAGCCCAGAUCAUCAGCUAAGGCCCCUAAGUGGUGACUCAGUGGGAAAGGAUGUGGAGUUGCGUAGACAACCAGGAGGUUGGCUUGGAAGCAGCCAUCCUUGAAAGAGUGCGUAAUAGCUCACUGGUCAAGUGGUCCUGCGCCGACAAUGUAGCGGGGCUCAAGUUAUCCGCCGAAGCUGUGGCAACUUUUUUUGAGUUGGGUAGGGGAGCGUCGUGUUCGUGGUGAAGCAGCCUGGUGAUGGGUUGUGGAGUGGAUGCGAGUGAGAAUGCAGGCAUGAGUAGCGAAUGACGGGUGGGAAACCCGUCCGCCGAAUAUCCAAGGGUUCCAGGGUCAAGUUAAUCUGCCCUGGGUGAGUCGGGACCUAAGGCGAGGCCGACAGGCGUAGUCGAUGGACGACCAGUUGAUAUUCUGGUACCGGUGUAGCACCGUCCGUGUCGAGGUGUGUGAUGCUAAGCGUGCGAGUGUCCUGGUGAUCCCUUCGGGGUGAUCUUGUGGCGUGAGUGUGUGAACCGAUCAUGUAGUAGACAAGCUGCGGAGGGACACAGUGAGGUAGCUCGUCCCCGGCGAUGGUUGUCCGGGGCUAAAUGUGUGGACUGUCUGGUAGGUAAAUCCGCUGGGCGUGAAGGUUGAGGCAUGAUGGGGAGCCCAUGGUUGUGGGUGAGUGAGUGAUCCUGUACUGUCGAGAAAAGCUUCGUGAGCGAGGUGGCGGGUCCGCCCGUACCCUAAACCGACACUGGUGGAUUGGUAGAGUAUACCGAGGCGAUCGAGUGAAUCGUGGUGAAGGAACUCGGCAAAAUGCCCCCGUAACUUUGGGAUAAGGGGGACCUGAGCUGUCGUGCACCCGUGCGGUGUGGUGGCGGUGAGGGGCGCAGAGUCCAGGGGGAAACGACUGUUUACCAAAAACACAGGUCCGUGCGAAGUCGUAAGACGAUGUAUACGGACUGACUCCUGCCCGGUGCUGGAAGGUUAAGGGGGGGAGUUAGCUUCGGCGAAGCUCUGAACUGAAGCCCCAGUAAACGGCGGCCGUAACUAUAACGGUCCUAAGGCAGCG
rnacentral:rRNA from 13 species